GGCACAGUGGCUUAGUGGUUAGCAUGUUUGCCUCUCACCUCCAGUGUUGGGGGUUUGAUUCCUGCCUCUGCCU